rnacentral:lncRNA from 1 species
UCCUGCACCGGCCUCAAACCCAACUCCAUAUAUCAUAUGGGACGUGGCUUAGGUUUUUACGAUCUCACUACUGGAAACCCACAUCAGUACCUAGCUCCUGAUGGUGCACCCAGCGUUCUCACCCAACCUUACUGGCUUCCUCCUUUUUCUACCUAGAGGUAGUAGCUAUUGGGUGUGUUUGAUUAAUCUUAGUUACUCUUGACCAGUUUGGAUUGCUUCCUUUAGAUAAUGUGACUGUUGUUUUCGGUGCAAUUUCUAUACUGGUGACAUAUCUUAAGCUUAUAUAUAUAGUUAGUUAUAUAUAUAUAUAUAUUAUAUUGUUCAAGAUAUUGAUAUAUGUCUUUUUUUGUGUUAUAAUGAAAUUGAUGAACAAGUGACAAAAGUAACAAGAUUAGCAGCAGUUUACAACCAAUUGAAGGAUUUAGAUUCCUUUUGAACACUCAUCUUUGUCUUUAACCUCCUCUGCUUCACUGAGCAGAAUCUCAUCCACAAAAGCCUCCAUGUUCUUAUCACAUGACCCACCUUCUCUACCCGCUUCAACCGCUAAACGCUUCCAUUUCUCAGCGUUUUCCCUCAGCUCCACCAACCUCUCAUCCAUCAAGAUGGUGUCUGAAACCAAGACACAAUUAUACCAAAACAAGCUCGUGUCUGAAACCAUGUUAAUGCAUUCAACAGUAAACUGUGAUAGUCUUGCGUUGGAUUUCAUGCCGGUGGUCGGGAAAUCCGUUAUGAGGGUCAUAGCCGAUGUGGCCGCAGUGGAAGCCGGACUAAGCCCGAGUGACGUCAGCAACGUCAAAUACGAGGGCAGAGAAGCAUCAUGCUUUGAAAUCAGCACCGGCACUAGCAAGGAGCUCCAUGUCUUUGUUCACGAGAGUGCCAAAUUGGCUUUACAUAAUCGCCACAACCCUCAACAACCGUCAAGAGAGUGCCACUUUUGAUCGAGUCUAUGAUAUCCAGAUGCCGCAGAAUCCUAAGGGCGGGUGGGGAGGAGAUGGGGCUAGCAGCAGCUCCAAGAAGAAGUAAUGUUGGCGAGUAAGAUAGAGCUAGCAGCAGCUCCAAGAUGUGAUCUGUGAGUGUUCCUUAUGUUUGAUGUGUGUGGUGUGUAUUUCCCAGUACUAUGUUGCUUAUGAAUUAUGCUUUUAUGUUACAUUUCCUACUCUGCUUGCUGCUUAUGUAUGAUAUUUGUGCUUUCUAGACUUUGAUUAUAUAUAAAUGUGUGUGUUUUAUGAAAAGUACUAUCGACACCAUAGAACUUCUCAACUAGUACAGCUUUCAAAAAAAUAACUAAAUAGCGCACAAAAUUUUGGCCGAAGAACAUCUUGAUUGUUUGAAAACGCCAUUGGGUAUGUAAGAGUGUUGACAUAGAGUAUGACCAAGAAAUCUCAUAAAACAAGCAAAUGCACGUGGUGUACACUACAAGAGUUUCAAAAAAUGUUUUUAACCAUCAACUAAGAAAUGAGAUUCCAAGCUCAAUACAUCAUGAAUAACCUAAUUUGAUUGGCAAAUUUGCAGGAGCUGCUGCUCAGGUAAUGUUAGAAUGAGAGAAUUAUUGAGAGUUUAUUUAUGGAGAAUGAAGAAUAUGAAGAACAUAGAGAGAGAGAAAGUAGAUCUCAAAAUGUAAGAGGGAGAAUGAGAGAAUAAUUUCCUUAAUUUAAUUGUGGAUUUGAGUACAAGUAUUUAAAGACAAAUGAACUCAGUACACAAUAUAAUCAAAUAUAUUCUUCUCUCUUUUUCUUCUUUUCAAUAAAAUCGAGCUUAUAAAACCCUUAUAAAGCCUUAUAAAACCUUAUAAGGCUUAUAAAACCUUAUAAGUCUAGCAGCUUAAUUCUCAAGUCUGGCAGCUUAAUUCUCAAAUCUGGCAGCUUACUUCUGCUUCAUGUCAACACUCCCCCUCAAGCUUGACCAUAUGGAACAAGUCAAGCUUGGAAGCCAUGAAGUAUUCCCUCAUUAAAACCUCAACUAGGUAAAACCCUUUGGGAGAAAACCCAAGUCAAGGAAAAAGAGUAGAACACUUCAUGAAGGAGAUAUCAGUGACAUGAGAGGUCUAUGAGUCCCAAUUUUGGAUGGAUAAACUCACAGACUUUAGUGCUUGCUGCCUUGGUGAAGAUAUCAGCUAACUGAUCUUCACUUUUAGUAUAGCAGGGUAAAAUGAUCUUCUGCUCCACAGCUUGUCUCACCUUGUGACAGUCAACUUCAAUGUGCUUUGUCCUCUCAUGAAACACUGAGUUUGAUGCUAUAUGUAUGGCCGCCUGAUUGUCACAGUGCAUUGUCAUUGGUGUUGUUGUCUCUAUGCCCAAAUCCUUUAGUAAGUUUCUGAUCCAAAUGAGCUCACUAGUAAGCUUCCUCAUUGCUUUAUACUCUGCUUCAGCACUUGAACAAGACACCACCUUCUGCUUCUUGCUCUUCCAUGUGACCAGGUUUCCUCCAAUGAAGGUGCAAUAGCCUGUAGUUGAUCUCCUAUCAACUCUGUCUCCAGCCCAAUCAUCAUCACAAUACCCAACAACUUCAGUACUCUUGUUACAUGCCAUCCAUACUCCUUGGCCAGGCGCCUCUCUUAGGUACCUUAAGAUCCUCUCCACCAUAUUCCAAUGAUGCACCUUAGGAGCUCCCAUGUGUUGACUCACUUGAUUCACAGCAAAACACACAUCGGGUCUGGUGAUGGUUAGAUAGAUGAGCUUGCCCACCAUUCUUCUAUACUUCUUGAUAUCUCCAAAUGGUGUAGACCCAUACUCCCCCUCUCUCAGCACCUUGUAUCCUUCUUCUAAUGGAGUCUUGGCCUUUUUACUCCCAAGGUUUCCUGCCUCCUUUAAAAUAUCAAGUGUGUACUUCCUUUGAGAUAAGAAUAGCCCCUCUUUAGAGCGGAAGAUCUCAAUCCCAAGAAAAUACUUCAACUCUCCCAAAUCCUUGAUAUCAAAGACACUUUUAAGAAAUGUUUUAGUUGAGAGAAUACCUUCCUUGUUGCUACCAGUGAUGAUAAUGUCAUCCACAUAGACUAAGAUGACCACAAUACCUUGCUUACUAGUUAAUGUGAAGAGGGUGUAAUCAGCUUCUGACUUUACAAAGCCUCUUCCAUUGAGGGUGGUGCUCAACUUAUGGUACCAAGUCCUUGGAGAUUGCUUCAAGCCAUAAAUUGCCUUCUUUAAUCUGAGAACAUUUCCUGGCUUCACCAUGUUCUCAAGACCAGAAGGUGGUCUCAUGUAGACUUCAUCCUCCAAUUCUCCUUGAAGAAAGACAUUCUUGACAUUCAUCUGCCAUAAAUCCCACUCAAGAUUGACAGCAAGGGAUAAGAGAAUCCUUAUAGUGUGAAGCUUGGCCACUUGUGCAAAAGUGUCUAGAUAAUCUUCACCAUACACUUGAGUAUAUCCCCUUGCAACCAGUCUUGUCUUCUUUCUUUCUGGUUUUCCAUUGGCUUCAUACUUGAUAGUGUAGAGAAGCCGGCUUGUCACUGCCUUCUUUCCUUUUGGAAGUUCAGUCUCAAACCAUGUAUCAUUCUUGAUCAUGGCUCCCAUCUCAUCUCCAACAGAUUCUCUCCACUCCUUGUGUUGCAUAGCUUCUUCAUAUGUUCUUGGAAUGUAUUCCAGAUCCAAUUCACUGAUGAAGACUUGAUGAUCUUCUGGAUAUUGAGCAAGGGAGCAUACUGCACUUAUUGGGUGAACUACAGCUUCAGCAUUGAAGUAAACUUCUGUGUUGAUCCACUGUGAGGGUUUCCUGAUCCUUGUACUCCUUCUCAAAAGUUGUAUCUGCUCAGGUUCUGCUUCAUUUCCUUCACUUGGCGCCUCUACUUGAGUCUCAACAUCUGAUUCUGAUGGCAUCUCAUCUUGAUCAUGAGCUACAGAGCUCUCUUCAGGUUGAGCUUGUGUAGACUGCUAAACAUUUCUACUGCCCCCCUCAUGAUUAGGAUGAGUGCUCUCAACACUACCAGCUGCAGUAGAUGAUAAAUUUUCAGGGACAGGUUCCACACUUGGUAAAGAGGGCAUACUGAUUCCCAGGCUCUCCAUUACUCCCCUAAGGUUAUUUGCUCUAUCUGAGGCUGAUUGAGAAAGAUCUUUGAGCUCAUCCCAACUCUUUCCAUCAUAAUAGCCUCUAGAUUCUGCAAACUUCACAUCCCUCGAGACAAGAACCCUUCUUGACUCUGGAUCAUAGCACUUAUACCCCUUCUGAGUUGGAGAGUAACCAAUGAACAUAGCUUUUGAGUUUUUAGCAUCAAGCUUGUUCCUCAGCUCCCCAGGUAUCAUCACAAAACAGAGGCAUCCAAACACACGCAAAUGGUCCAAAGAUGGUUUGGUCUUAUUUAGAACCUCAAAAGGAGACAUGUCGUUGAGGACUUUAGUUGGAGUUCUAUUGAUCAGAUAAGUAGCAGACAUCACAGCAUCACUCCAGAAUCUUUUUGGAACAUUGGUGCGGAACAUCAUUGAUCUUGCUACCUCCAUCAAAUGUCUGUUCUUUCUCUCAGCAACUCCAUUCUGUUGAGGAGUGUAAGGACAACUUGUCUGGUGAGUAAUCCCAUGUUGAGCAAGAUAUUGCUUAAAUGCAUGACUUGUAUACUCUCCACCAUUAUCUGACCUUAGAAUUUUCAUCUUGGCAUUGAAAUGGUUGCAGAUAAGGGUCUGGAAAUUCUUGAAAGCAUCCAACACCCUGUCCUUAGACGGAAUCAGUGUCACCCAAGUGUAUUUGGAUUUCUCAUCAAUGAAGGUGACAAAGUAUUUGUGGUUCUCUCUAGACACACAUGGAGCAGUUCAUACAUCAGAGUGAACUAGGUCAAAACAUCUUUCAUAGAUGGUGCUAGACUGUGAGAAGACUGUUCUACAAUGCUUCCCCAAUAUGCAAGCUUCACAAUCAUCAUUCUUGAAGACCACACCUGGAAGCAUCAAGUUUAGGGCUCUUGUAUGAGGAUGUCCCAACCUAGCAUGCCAUAGUGUGCUAUCAACCCCGCUGGAUGUACUAGCCAAACACUGAGAAGUGGAUGGUCUAGACAUCUCUGUCUUCUGAAGAUGAUAUAGUUCAUUGUGAACGUGCCCCUUUCCAAUCACUUGGCAUGUCUUUAAGUCUUGAAAUUCAACCUCAUCUGGUUUGAAGACAACCUGACAACUCAGAUCAACAGUAGCUUUUCUCACAGAUAGCAAGUUUGAUGUAAACCAAGGCAUAUACAAGGCAGUAGAUUCCCUAUCAAACAACCUCAGGUUCCCCUAUCCCUUCUAUCUUAAUCUUAUCACCAUUUGCUAUUUGAACAUUCUCUGAGGCAGGCUGGACAUCACUCAUCAAGUUUCUAUCACUAAUCAUGUGAUGGCUUGCUCCUGAAUCUAUAAUGAUAGGUUUAGGGUCAAGAGAGUGUGUACCAGCCUUCUUGAAUGAGAUAAAGGCUUGGAUAAGGGAAUGUAGGUCACUCAUGGUUGCUGGACCAUCAGUGUUGGCUGCACUAUCAGUACUUCUCCAUGUUCCUUCUUCAUUUGAACCACCAAUGACAGAUGAAUACAUGGUUCGACCUUGAAUCGAUGGAUGCUCAAACUCUUUGAUUACAUUCUUAGCUUGAUUGAAGUCACUUCUUCUUGGCAUAUUGUGGUUCUUAUGUUGUUCCUUAGCCUUCUUGUACUCUGGAAACAACACCAUGUUGGAGUUCUCCCUCAUGGAGAGAUAUGGACCAGUGGACAAUAGAUUGUUCCUACUGAUUUUGAGAUAAACUGGACUUUGAAGAAGCUUUUCCUGAUAUGGUUGAAGCUUUCUUGAGUUCCAGAGAAUAGGGUACUCCUCUAUCUUGAGUUCUGGUGAGGUUCUUCCCUUUUGAAAGACCUUUGGACCAGUGGAUAAAAGGAUAUCCAACAGAUUUUGAAGAUAAUCUGAGAAAGAAAGAAAGAAAUUUGCGGAAGUUUUUGUGAGUUUCAGGAGCUUAAUGCUCUGAUACCAUGUUAGAAUGAGAGAAUUAUUGAGAGUUUAUUUAUGGAGAAUGAAGAACAUAGAGAGAGAGAGAGAGAGAAAGUAGAUCUCAAGAUGUAAGAGAGAAAAUGAGAGAAUAAUUUCUUUAAUUUAAUUGUGGAUAUGGGUACAAGUAUUUAAAGACAAGUGACCUCAGUACACAAUAUAAUAAAAUAUCUUCUUCUCUCUUUUUCUUCUCUUCAAUAAAAUCGAGCUUAUAAAACUCUUAUAAAGCCUUAUAAAAUCUUAUAAAACCUUUAUAAAGACUUUAUAAAACCUUAUAAAUCUGGCAGCUUAAUUCUCAAGUCUGGCAGUUUACUUCUGCUUCAUGUCUAACAGGUAACACAAACCUAGCCUUCUAAUGUCCCUCUAUAGUGUAUACCAUAAAAGAAGACCUAGGACUCGAUACCUAAGGCUAACAGAAAGUGUUAUGGAGAAAAACCAAGCAAACAAAACAAGUCAAAUCCUUGAAAGAUGUGUAGCAAGAAGCUGAGAACAACGUAUGAAAUUCCGCCAUGCAGCCUUUCUUGGAUAUCACGUAAACUUGAGAAAUACAUCAACGUCAAAUCUUACGUUGUAAACUAAAGCACAAAGACGCUUUGAUUCGCUAUAUUAAAUUAUGCUAUUAUGAGACCACAACUCUAAAGGAAGUGCUCCGUCAUAAUUGUCUCUUAGCAUAUAUUCAUAUUUUAUUUAUUUAAUAUAGUUAUAAAGUUACAUCUGUUUUGGCUUUAACAUGAUAACAUGAGUGAUAUCAUGUAUACACUGGUGUUUUUAAAGAAAAUAUUUUUUUUUUGGUUAAGGAAUUUAAAGAAAAUAUACACACUGGUGUUUUUACUUAACAAUAAAAAUAUAUACACUGGUGGUUCGUGAAAAUCUUUUUCUAGGUUGCUUAAGUCUCAUGAGUGGCUGGGAAUGUUUUCUGUUAGUGUCGUAAGAAAUAGUGUUAUAUAUGGGUUAACAGAGAGGUUAGAAACUGAUGCAAAAUCCCGUAAAACUGUUAAUAUUGUGUUGUCUUGAUUUUAUGUGUGAAUGCAUAAUAAUAUAUGUGCUGUGCUAGUACAUGCUAUAAUUUAAAUGAAAAAUAUGUAAUGGUGGUUAAUGAUGAUAUAAUCUGUUCGAGUAUAAUGAUCUACUCAGUUUAGGUGUUCCAAAAAGAUUGUUUAAUGUUCUUUUUGAUUUCAAUAUGAGAUUUUUCUAAUAUUUGAUGUAUCUGUUUGGAGAGAAAAAAAUAAUUAUAGGAGACAAUGAACACGUCAGUGAAUCCAUUACAAAGAUUAAGUAUGAUUUCGUAAGUGGAACCAUUUCAAAUUGAUACGGCAAAAGGAUGUUUAUCAAACUAUAUACUAAUAUUAUGACAAUGUGUUAGUUGAAUCGCAGUGGUAUUUUUUGUAAUUAUUCUAGUAAAAAGAGGAUAAUUAAUUAUUUAGAGUGAAGAGCACCGUGGAGCUAACACCUCAGCAAAAUGACGUAGAAAUAAAUAAUCUAUAUAAAUGUUUCUGUAUCUCCUAUAUAUUAAUUGAGAAGCAUUUGAAAAAUUAGAACCUUAAUUUUGUAUUAAUUAAAAAAAAUCUCAAAUCCUAGAUGGUACUCUAAAUGCCUUCUAAAUUUCAUUUCAAAGAAUUCUAGAGCAUCUAAUAUAAAGUAUAGUUUAAUCUAAUGGUGUCACAUUAUUCCAUAAUUAUAUAACACUAGAGAACAUUAUAUUAACCUAAAAUAUAUGAAGUAUGUAUUUUUUCCUUAAAUAAAAGCUACAGAAUUACCUAAUAUGAUUUACAUAUAUACAGGAAUUAAUGAUUAUGAAUAAUAAAGAUUUGAUAACAAUUUUUGCAUCCUUCUUCAUUUUUGUUUAAAUUUAUAUUAUUAAAAAAACUUAAACAAUCACAUUAACCAUAUAAUUAAAAAAAUUAGAUUUUUUCUUAUAUGUUAUAUUUUGAAUUUUUUAAAAUGACUUUAAAUUAUAAAAAUGAGGAAACCUUUAUAUGUUAUAUAUAUUUUUUAAACGACUUUAAAAUACAAAAAUGAGGACACCUUAUAUGUUAUAUUUUUCUUAUAUGCUAGAAUUUUCUUAUAUGUUAUAUUUUGAAUUUUUUUAAGACGACUUUAAAUUAUAAAAAUGUAAGUUUUCCUUAAGUAUACGACUAAAAACAUUAAUAUGAGAUGUAUCAAUUCGAUGGUUGAUUUGAAAGCUUUCAAAACCAUAUGGAAGAUAAAAGUGAAAAUAAUUCAACUGUGAAAACAAUACUGUUCACUUUUUUCAAGAAUGUGUUCGCUGGAAAAAAUAAGGUUUUUAUGUCAUAAUUUGUUUAAUGUCCACUAGAGAACAUUAUAUUAACCUAAAAUAUAAGAAGUGUGUAUUAUUUCCUUAAAUAAAAGCUACAGAAUUACCUAAUAUGAUUUACAUAUAUAUGACAAUUAAUGAUUAUGAAUAAUAAAGAUUUGAUAACAAUUUUUGCAUCCUUCUUCUUUUUUGUUUAAUUUUAUAUUAUUAAAAAAAUAAACAAUCACAUUAACCAUAUAAUAAAAAAUUAUAUUUUUUCUUAUAUGUUAUAUUUUGAAUUUUUUAAAAUGACUUUAAAUUACAAAAAUGAUGAAACCUGAUAUGUUAUUUUUUUUAAAACGACUUUAAAAUACAAAAAUGAGGACACCUUAUAUGUUAGAUUUUUUCUUAUAUGUUAUAUUUUGAAUUUUUUUAAAACAACUUUAAAUUACAAAAAUGUAAGUUUUCCUUAAGUAGACGACUAAAAACAUUAAAAUGACAUGUAUCAGUUCGAUGGUUGAUUUGAAAGCUUUCAAAACCAUAUGUAAGUUAAAAGUCAAAAUAAUUCAACCGUGAAAACAAUACUAUUCACUUUUUCCAAAUUGUGUUCGAGGAAAAAAAUAAGGUUUUUAUGUCAUAAUUUGUUUAAUGUCCACUAGAGAACAUUAUAUUAACCUAAAAUAUAAGAAGUGUGUAUUCGUUCUCUAAAUAAAAGCUGCAAAAUUACCUAAUAUGAUUUACAUAUAUAUGACAAUUAAUGAUUAUGAAUAAUAAAGAUUUGAUAACAAUUUUUUGCAUCCUUCUUCAUUUUUUUUUAAUUUUAUAUUAUUAAAAAAAUAAACAAUCACAUUAACCUUAUAUGUUAUUUAAAAAAAAAACGACUUUAAAAUACAAAAAUGAGGACACCUUAUAUGUUAGAUUUUUCUUAUAUGUUAGAUUUUGUCUUAGAUGUUAUAUUUUGAAUUUUUUAAAACCACUUUAAAUUACAAAAAUGUAAGUUUUCCUUAAGUAUACGACUAAAAACAUUAAAAUGACAUGUAUCAAUUCGAUGGUUGUUUCGAAAGGUUUCAAAGCCAUAUGGAAGAUAAAAGUGAAAAUAAUUCAACUGUGAAAACAAUAUUGUUCACUUUUUUCAAGAAUGUGUUCGAUGAAAAAAAUAAUGUUUUUAUGUCAUAAUUUGUUUAAUGUCCAAUCCGAUCAACCCAUGAUGUAUUAAUUAUAGUUUUGUUCCAUUAUUUUUAAUAAAAAUUGUUCCGAUCCAUCGGAAAGAAAUUAUAUAAUAACAACAAAAAAUAUUUUAUAUAUAUAAAUAAAAUGAUCACAUAUAUAAAAAAAAAACUAUCGAUAAUAUAUGCAAAUAAACUCAUGCUGCGCAAGGCGCAUAUCUUAUCCUAGUUAAUAAGUAAGAGAUUAAAGUCACGUGAAAUUUAUUGUUGUAUCUAACUCGGUUUUCUUUGUCAACAAAAGUUAUUGUAGAAUGAACGAGUGGUGCACGGUGAAUGAAUAUUGUGUAACAAUAUAUAAAUGUAAAUUGAAGUAAUAAUAUAGAAAAGUGGAAAGAUUCCAUUAUUGUGUUUCCCAAAAAAGGAAAGUGGAAAGAAAACAAGCUUGGUAACCAAGCCUGACCUGCUCUCUUUUAAAAUGUUGGAGUUGGAGAAGAAGAUAUAUGGGAGAUUUUUUAAUUUCUAAUUCAUCAAAACAUUAUUUAAGGUUUGUUUGAUUCUGUGUGUGAUAGGUGAUCUGGAGGUAUAUUGAAUAUACAAUGUCUCAGCUUCUCUCCCGUCUCUCCAAACUCUCGUCCCGGAACAAGACUGUUCUUGUACGUAUACGCAUCUCUCUCGCCCUCUCUGUCUAUUGGUUUGGAUCUCUAGUAGUUAGGUCUUGUUAAAUUAGAUAAGACUUUAAAUGAAUACCAAUGAGUUUGUCUCUGAGUAUUGACAUCAGGAAGAUAAGGCUCGGAGGGUUGAGAUUGCUUCUUGGCUUAGCUAUACAAAUAGUGUUUUGGAACGGUUCUGAUGUCUGAUUUACUUUACUUGGCAGAAACACAAGAACUCUCGUUUGUUAUCAACCAGCCCGUAUCUGAUUGUUGGCGUAUUUGCCGAAGAUGCUAGGGCAAGAGGUGGCGGCUUUCUCGGUGAUAUCCUCUUGUUCGACCCGGCAAAGGAAGAGUUACUCACCGUGCGCGACAAAACAGUGUCCGAAUAGCUUAUUUGCUCAAAAGUGAUGGGAGCGUCACAUGGAUGGGGUUUUUUCUCUGAUCUGCGCAAUCAUAACUCCGUACGUAUCACCGACUUUUUUAAUCCACUGGCUUCCAAAUCAGACAGCAAGAUAAUUCCUCUGCCUCCUCUUACUAGUAUGAUCUAUGGCCAAACCGAAGUGGUCUGGAACGUGGCCAUGUCGUCCUCUUCUCCUUAUCGUCAAGACAACGAGGAAGGAGACUGUGUAGUGGCUAUCAAGUUCUUGGGUAAUCAGUUGAGCAUGUGCAGGCCUGGGCGUGACCUAGCUUGGACUAACAAACUGAUCCCUUUCGUCGGCUUCGAAAACUCAAACCUCAUGUAUUCAAAGAGAGAUCAAAGGUUCUCCCUGCCUGCUCCUGGAGGCAACUACUUAUGCUCUUGGGAUCUCCACUUCGAGAACGAACCUAAGUUCACUGAGUUGGUGUUCCGAAACCUUCCUGAGUUGCCUCAGUCCGAAUGGGAGCUGAUGGAUUCUUGUUUCAGGGAGGACCAUUGGGUGGAGUCACCUUCCGGCCAAAGUUUCCUAGUCAAAUGGUAUAAUAACAAGUAACAUGCAUAUCACAUAAAUUUUAUCAAAUUUUAAUCAUAGUAAUCUGUCUUAUGUGUCUGUGCAGGUACUCUCAUGUACCUCCUAUAAGAUGCAAAGAGCCGAUGGUUAUGGUGUUUAGAGAGGACCAAGACACAAACGAGGGAACAAAAACCAUGUCUUACACCGAGGACAUAGGAGAUCUUUGCAUAUUCCUUUCGAAAAGCGAACCUUUCUGCGUUGUGGCUAGCUCUUUCCUUUGCAUAUUCCUCUCGAAAAGUGAACCUUUCUGCGUUGUGGCCAGCUCUUUCCCUGGUCUCAAGCCCAACUCCAUCUACUUGAUGGGCCGUUGCUUUGCUGUUUACGAUAUAACCACUAAAACCUCCCGUCACUUUGAACGUCCCAAAGGUGUACCAGAAAGUCUUACUAAUUUCCUCCCUUACUGGCUUCCUCCAUUUUCUAUCUAGUUCUAUGGUGUGUUGUAUUUCGAUUUCAGUACUUUCUCUCGAGCGUUUGGAUCGCUAUGAUCUAAGCUUAUAAUCAUCUUAAUUUAUGGUAUGUGACACUUGUUCUUCUAGAAAUUUUGGCCCCCAUCUCGCAUUACGAUAAUCACUUUAAUAUUUAGAAACAUACAAAAAUAUUAAGCAACAAUGCAAAUGUUUAUAUUAAUUUACACAGAAAAAUUUGUGAAGUACAAAUUUAUAUGAAAUGUAGUCGGCUAAUCAUAUUAUACUAUAAGUCACGUGAAAGUUAUUGAAUGCACUUGAUUUCUUUGUCAACAAAAGUUAUUAUUGACUGAACCAGUGGCCCAUGGUAAAAUGAAUACUUAUACCAGUAGCAAAUGUUUUCAUAAUUGUAAAAUGUUUGUAGCUAAUCUUAUAAAUGUUUAUGUAAUUAGUAAAAAGUUUGUAGGUCUAAUAACGCCACAGAAGAAAAUGAAAAAAACUAUAGGAAAAAUAAACUGGAAAAGAAAAGUUUCUCUGGUGACGAGUACAAUAGCUUGCCAAGAUUCCAUUAUUGCCUUUCACAAAAAAGGAAAGUGGGAAAAAAAAACCUUGGUAACCAAGCCUGACUUGCUCUCCUUUAAAUGGUGGAGAAAAAGAUAUAUUGGAGGCUUCUUUAUUUUCUAAUUCUUCUUUUUCUGUGCAACCUAUUUUCUAAUUCAUCAAAACAUUAUUUAAGUUUGUUUUAGUUCUAUGUGGUUUGAUUCGAAGGUGUCUUGAAUAUACAAUGUCUCAGCUUCUCUUCCGUCUCUCCAAACUCUCGUCCCGGGAGAACAAUGUUCUUGUAUGUAAAAUCUUCUCUUGGCUUCUUUGUCUAUUGGUUUAGAUCUGUAGUAGUUAGGUCUUGUUUAACUGGGUAGGCUUUUAGGGAACACCAAAGAGUUUGUGUCUGAGUACUGACAUCAGGAAGAUAAGGAACGAAGGGUUGAGAUUGCCCCUUGGCUUAGCUAUACAAAAAGCGUUUGGAAACUACUGUUCGGUUCUGAUGUCUGAUUUUCUUUACUUGGCAGACACACAAGAGCAGUCGUUUGUUCUCAACCAGCCCGUAUCUGACACUUGGCACUAGGGUCAAAGAAGUUCUGCCCGGUGGCUGCAAAAUUGCAGAUGUUCUCUUGUUCGACCCGGUUGAAGAAGAGUUAGUCACCGUCCCCGACAAAACAAUUCCCAAAGAGCUCAUGGACCAAGAAAUGGUCGGUGCUUCCCAUGGAUGGGGAUUUUUCUGUGCUCGGCACGAUCGUUCCGUACGCAUCACCGACUUAUUCAACCCUUUGGCAUCCAAAUCAAACCCCACCGUGAUUACUCUUCCUCAGCUUACCGCUCUGCCCUCUAACCAAAUCGAAGAAGUCUGCAACGUGGCAAUGACAUCGUCCCCUCACCUUGAAGACUGUGUAGUGGCUAUCAAGUUCUCAGGUAACCAGAUGAGUCUGUGCAGGCCCGGUCGUGACCUUGAGUGGACUAACAUCUUGACCCCUCCUAACUGCUUGGAAAACUCAAAUCUUAUGUAUUCCAAAAGAGACAAAAAAUUCUACUUGCCUGCUCCUGGAGGUAAAUACUUGUUCUCCUAUCAUCUUCACUCCAAAGAAGAAGAUAUCCCUGAGGUCCAAGAGGUGGUCUACCGCGGCCAUCCAGAGUUGGAUCAGUCAGAAUGGGAGCUUUUGAGUUCGUGUACCAGGACGGAGUAUCUUGUGGAGUCAUCCUUUAGUGGUGAACGUUUCCUAAUCAAAUGGUCUCAUCUCUAUACAUCCUGGUUUUGUUUAUUAGAUAAAAUGAUGUAGCGGAAGUUUUAUAAGAUAGAACUAUAGAGAAAAUGCUGAGAAGAGUUUUUUGUUUCUUGAACGGCGGUGCAGGUAUGCACUUGGUUUCUACUCGUCGGUGUUGAAAGGAGUCUACCACAUAACGAAGAGGUUCAUGGUGUUUAGAGAGGAGGAGACUACAGAGGGAAGCAUCAUGUGUUACACUGAGGACAUUGGAGACAUGUGCAUUUUCCUUGCAAACAGCGAGGCUUUCUGCGUCCCCGCCAGCUCUUGCGCCGGCCUCAAACCCAACUCUAUAUAUCAUAUGGGACGUGGCUUAGGUUUUUACGAUCUCACUACUGGAAACCCACAUCAGUACCUAGCUCCUGAUGGUGCACCCAGCGUUCUCUCGCAACCUUACUGGCUUCCUCCUUUUUCUACCUAGAGGUAGUAGACUAGUAGUAGUAGUAGCUCUUGUUGUGUUUAACUCUUGGUUACUC